rnacentral:snoRNA from 1 species
ACCUCCUACAAAGGCAUGUCAGUGGUUUCCUAUCCUUGGACAUGUAAGAAUAGGAGGCAAAGAGAUGUGGACUUGGAGAAGUCUGGAGCCUGCUUGCUCCUCGCAGGCUCAAAUCAUCCUUUCCCACACAG